rnacentral:rRNA from 1 species
UACGUAGGGUGCAAGCGUUAAUCGGAAUUACUGGGCGUAAAGCGUGCGCAGGCGGUUUUGUAAGUCUGAUGUGAAAUCCCCGGGCUCAACCUGGGAAUUGCAUUGGAGACUGCAAGGCUAGAAUCUGGCAGAGGGGGGUAGAAUUCCACGUGUAGCAGUGAAAUGCGUAGAGAUGUGGAGGAACACCGAUGGCGAAGGCAGCCCCCUGGGUCAAGAUUGACGAUCAUGCACGAAAGCGUGGGGAGCAAAAAGG